GACAGAGGGUGCAAGCGUUGUUCGGAAUUACUGGGCGUAAAGAGCUCGUAGGCGGUUUGUCGCGUCUGCCGUGAAAGUCCGGGGCUCAACUCCGGAUCUGCGGUGGGUACGGGCAGACUAGAGUGAUGUAGGGGGGACUGGAAUUCCUGGUGUAGCGGUGAAAUGCGCAGAUAUCAGGAGGAACACCGAUGGCGAAGGCAGGUCUCUGGGCAUUAACUGACGCUGAGGAGCGAAAGCCAGGGGAGCAAACGGG
rnacentral:rRNA from 1 species